rnacentral:lncRNA from 1 species
CACAGGCACCCUAUUGCUGCUGGGCCGAUGGUCGAGGGGUUGAGGGCGCCCACAUGUGGCCUCGAAGGGACUUUGGCUGAAUGGUGUGUGCGCGUCUUGGGUCCUAACUGUUGUUCAGCCAUGGCGGUGGGGGGCGCCUUGUGCAGAGUGGGGGAGGUGCAGUGGAGCCGGGGUGGUGUCUUGGCGGCCUGUGACUUCGGGUCUCUUUGUCCUUCCAUCGGGCUGGAACCCACAUGUUUGGCCUUGGAGGUUUCUUUUGGAGAGCGUGGCACAGCCUCAUCGGGACCGGGCCUUCUUGGGGGAUUUGUC